UACGAAGGGGGCUAGCGUUGCUCGGAAUUACUGGGCGUAAAGCGCACGUAGGCGGAUUCUUAAGUCAGGGGUGAAAUCCCGGAGCUCAACUCCGGAACUGCCUUUGAUACUGGGAAUCUUGAGUUCGGGAGAGGUGAGUGGAACUGCGAGUGUAGAGGUGAAAUUCGUAGAUAUUCGCAAGAACACCAGUGGCGAAGGCGGCUCACUGGCCCGAUACUGACGCUGAGGUGCGAAAGCGUGGGGAGCAAACAGG
rnacentral:rRNA from 1 species